AGAGUUUGAUCCUGGCUCAGGAUGAAUGCUGGCGGCGUGCCUAAUACAUGCAAGUCGAGCGGUAAGGCCCUUCGGGGUACACGAGCGGCGGACGGCUGAGUAACGCGUGGGAACAUGCCCCAAAGUGAGGGAUAACGCACCGAAAGGUGUGCUAAUACCGCAUAUGGUCUUCGGAUUAAAGGAUUUAUCCGCUUUGGGAGUGGCCCGCGUACGAUUAGAUUGUUGGUGAGGUAACGGCUCACCAAGUCGACGAUCGUUAACUGGUCUGAGAGGAUGAUCAGUCAGACUGGAACUGAGACACGGUCCAGACUCCUACGGGAGGCAGCAGUAAGGAAUCUUCCACAAUGGGCGAAAGCCUGAUGGAGCAACGCCGCGUGCAGGAUGAAGGCCCUCGGGUCGUAAACUGCUUUUACGAGUGAAGAAUAUGACGGUAACUCAUGAAUAAGCACCGGCUAACUACGUG
rnacentral:rRNA from 1 species